rnacentral:rRNA from 1 species
GAACGCUCUACGUAAGUAGAGAGUGGCGGACGGGUGAGGAACACGUGGGUAUCUGCCUUUCGGUGAGGAAUACCGGCGAGAAAUCGCCGACAAUACCGCAUAUGAUCGUAAGAUCAAAGUCGCAAGACGCCGGAAGAUGAGCCUGCGCCCGAUUAGCUGGUUGGUGGGGUAAAGGCCUACCAAAGCGACGAUCGGUAGCUGGUCUGAGAGGACGAUCAGCCACACUGGGAUUGAGAACGGCCCAGACUCCUACGGGGGGCAGCAGUGAGGAAUUUUCGUCAAUGGGGGCAACCCUGAACGAGCAACGCCGCGUGCAGGACGAAGGUCUUCGGAUCGUAAACUGCUUUUCUCUGGGACGAGAAUGGACGGUACCAGAGGAAGAAGCCCCGGCUAACUACGUGCCAGCAGCCGCGGUAAU